rnacentral:lncRNA from 1 species
ACGCAGGAUACUUCGAUCAGGAUGAGACAAUUAAAGCAGGAAAAUCAUGUUGGGCCGGAGGAACAUGUUAGAAGAUUGGACGUCGGGCCGGUGGAUCGGUCGACGUAUCGACAGAAGGCUUCGGGCCGUGGACUCGGGCAUCAGGCCAAGAAGAGCGGGUAUUUUGCCAAGGAUAUCGGAGUUGCAGAGUCAACUGGCCGAUUGGGCAUUAGGCCGC